GAUGCAGCGACGCCGCGUGGGGGAUGACGGCCUUCGGGUUGUAAACCCCUUUCAGUAGGGAAGAAGCGAGAGUGACGGUACCUGCAGAAGAAGCGCCGGCUAACUACGUGCCAGCAGCCGCGGUAAUACGUAGGGCGCAAGCGUUGUCCGGAAUUAUUGGGCGUAAAGAGCUUGUAGGUGGCUUGUCGCGUCUGCCGUGAAAACCCGAGGCUCAACCUCGGGCGUGCGGGUGGGUACGGGGCAGGCUAGAGUGUGGUAGGGGGAGACUGGAACUCCUGGUGUAGCGGUGAAAUGCGCAGAUAUCAGGAAGAACACCGAUGGCGAAGGCAGGUCUCUGGGCCAUUACUGACACUGAGAAGCGAAAGCAUGGGUAGCGAACAGGAUUAGAUACCCUGGUAGUCCAUGCCGUAAACGUUGGGCACUAGGUGUGGGGGACAUUCCACGUUUUCCGCGCCGUAGCUAACGCAUUAAGUGCCCCGCCUGGGGAGUACGGCCGCAAGGCUAAAACUCAAAGGAAUUGACGGGGGCCCGCACAAGCGGCGGAGCAUGCUGAUUAAUUCGAUGCAACGCGAAGAACCUUACCAAGGCUUGACAUGCACUGGACGGCUGCAGAGA
rnacentral:rRNA from 1 species